AGGGCACCACCAGGAGUGGAGCCUGCGGCUUAAUUUGACUCAACACGGGAAAACUUACCUGGUCAGGACACUGGAAGGAUUGACAGAUUGAGGGCUCUUUCUUGAUUCAGUGGGUGGUGGUGCAUGGCCGUUCUUAGUUGGUGGAGCGAUUUGUCUGGUUAAUUCCGAUAACGAACGAGACUCUAGCCUACUAAAUAGACUGCUCAACUUUAUAGCUGCAUCACCUUGCAGUGGCUUCGGUUGCUGUAAGGCUGUGGUGACGUUGGCAGUGCUUCUUAGAGGGACAGGCGGCGGUUCAGCCGCACGAAACCGAGCAAUAACAGGUCUGUGAUGCCCUUAGAUGUCCAGGGCCGCACGCGCGCUACACUGAAGUGAUCAGCGUGCAAUUAACGUUUCCUACUCCGUCAGGAGUGGGCAACCCGUUGAACCUUCUUCGUGAUUGGGAUAGGGGAUUGUAAUUAUUCCCCUUGAACGAGGAAUUCCCAGUAAGCGCAAGUCAUAAGCUUGCGUUGAUUACGU
rnacentral:rRNA from 1 species